AUGAACGCUGGCGGCGUGCUUCACACAUGCAAGUCGAACGGAAAGGCCCUUGCUUGCAGGGGUACUCGAGUGGCGAACGGGUGAGUAACACGUGGGUGAUCUGCCCUGCACUUCGGGAUAAGCCUGGGAAACUGGGUCUAAUACCGGAUAGGACCAUCGUUUAGUGUCGGUGGUGGAAAGUUUUUUCGGUGUGGGAUGAGCUCGCGGCCUAUCAGCUUGUUGGUGGGGUAAUGGCCUACCAAGGCGUCGACGGGUAGCCGGCCUGAGAGGGUGUACGGCCACAUUGGGACUGAGAUACGGCCCAGACUCCUACGGGAGGCAGCAGUGGGGAAUAUUGCACAAUGGGCGCAAGCCUGAUGCAGCGACGCCGCGUGGGGGAUGACGGCCUUCGGGUUGUAAACUCCUUUCGUCAGGGACGAAGCGAAAGUGACGGUACCUGGAUAAGAAGCACCGGCUAACUACGUG
rnacentral:rRNA from 1 species